rnacentral:rRNA from 1 species
UACGUAGGUGGCAAGCGUUGUCCGGAAUCAUUGGGCGUAAAGCGCGUGUAGGCGGUCCGGUAAGUCCGCUGUGAAAGUCGGGGGCUCAACCCUCGGAUGCCGGUGGAUACUGUCGGGCUUGAGUACGGAAGAGGCGAGUGGAAUUCCUGGUGUAGCGGUGAAAUGCGCAGAUAUCAGGAGGAACACCAAUUGCGAAGGCAGCUCGCUGGGACGUUACUGACGCUGAGACGCGAAAGCGUGGGGAGCAAACGGG